GAGUACAGUAAAGUACAGUAUAGUUGAAUUCUGUGGAGUACAGUACAGUUUAGUUCAGUAGAGUACAUUAGAGUAAAGUAGGGUACAAUACAGCUUUUAUUUACUUUACCGUAGUCUAGUGUGCUCUACUGGAUUGUGCUGUACUCUACUUUACUAUACUAUACUUUUUUUUACUACUGUGUACUCCAAUGUACUUUACUCUGCUGUGCUCUACUGUACUGCGCUGCCCAAACGUGUGAAACACCAAAUCUGAACCAAUUAUAGAUGUUUGGGCUAAAUCGAGGCCGGACUGGACUGGACCAAAUCUCAGCGUCUAUGCCUGGGCCAAAUAAAGGCCGGUCUGGACCGGACGUCUGUGGAUGCCUAGGAUUGGUUAAGAUUCAACGUCAGUGGACGUUGAAAUCAAGGACUCUCCUGACUGCAAGAACAAGACGUCCUAAAGCCUGACGUCAAAUGCUUAGUGGGUGGUUCAUACUCCUCCAACCCAGCACAUUUAUGAAAUCAUGUAGUGGUUAACCAAGAAGUGUUUUUAAAGGAGAUGACUGAUGUUUAGAGUAUACUAUAAACUGAACUAGCUCUGAGAAUAUUUUCCCAAUGAAAGGUUUACUAGUUCCACUGGUUUUGCUGCUCUGUCAGUUAGGAGCACCUGAGAGUUUUCUAAGUGAAGACGCAUCCUCUGACAAAAAGACAGCACUCCAACCUGACAUCUGGUCUGAGCUGAGAGAUCUGAGAGACAUGGUGGUGCUGCAGAGAGCAGAGCUGAGACGCACCAUGGCUGAACUACGAGACACUAAGAACCAGAUGGAGGGGCUGAAAACAGAGAACUCAGGUGGUAACAGAAUACUAUGUCCAGUUUGCCCGCUACCAGCUGACUGAGUAAUUUAUACUCGGAUGAAUUUCCAUUGUUGACAUGAAAAUAAUUGUAUUUUGUUUUAGUAAUGGAGUCCAGGCUGAUGAGUUCUGAAGGACAACUUGAGGCAUUGUCAUUAUGUUGGUAUUGAUCAAGAAUAUUAUCUUUUCCCCCGUUGCAAAUGUGUGUGUAAUUUCUGUAACUCCAGCCAUAGUGAGCAGACUAACAUCCGCUGAGAGUGAGGUUGAGAGACUACAGAAGGAGAAUGCAGCAUGGGCCAUUCCACACUGUCACCACCGUGUUCUUCCAGAACAUAUUCUCAAACACUGGCAACCACUACAGCCAAGCUACAGGUGUCUUCACAGCACCGGUGAGAGGGGCCUACUACUUCGGCUUCACUAUUGGUGCAUAUCUCCAUUCCACUGUUAUGGGCCUAACACUGUUCAAGAAUGAACAGCAAAUCAUUCAUACAGGGGAGUGGGGUAACCAUGGGCAGUUUAGGUGUGCAUCCAAUACCGUCAUACUACAGCUGUAGGUGGGAGAUGUCGUUUUUAUGCAACUCCUGCAAACUACAGGAUCUUUGAUGAUUUACCUCAUUGUAACACUUGGUUCUCUGCUCUAUCCUGUGUGAGAAAGUUAACAUGUAUUAUAAUGAUGAGGUCAGUAAAGUGCUUUUGACCACAUUAUUAAAUAUAUAUAUUUUUUUCCACACACACACACACAUACACACACACACACACACACACACACACACACACACACACACACACACACACACACACACACACACACACACACACACUUUUCAACAACACAUGCUGCAAUAUUCACUUUGACCAGUUGGGGGUAGUAGAUUCCCACAGUUGGUUGUGUGUUCUUCGAUCAAAGGGGGAUGGAUACAGUCAACACAGACCUAUUAUGUGAAUGUUUUGAUGAAUUAAAAUUAUCCAACCAUUUCAGGUUAUAGGUAUUUGGGGUAUUUUUAGCCAAGUGAAGUUAAAUAGAAUCAUAUAGAAUGUUUUUCAACGUUACAGUUUGAAAAUAUUUACAAGUACAACAAACAAUGUACUGUAAUAUUGGCCUGCCCAGUCUGGUUUAAUGCAUGUUUUAGAAUUUUAAACAACUAUUUAAUUUUAGAAAUAAGUUAUUACGUAUAGGCCUUCACCAUGUUAACACAUACAGUACCAGUCAAAAGU